UUAAGCGACUAAGCGUACACGGUGGAUGCCCUGGCAGUCAGAGGCGAUGAAGGACGUGCUAAUCUGCGAUAAGCGUCGGUAAGGUGAUAUGAACCGUUAUAACCGGCGAUUUCCGAAUGGGGAAACCCAGUGUGUUUCGACACACUAUCAUUAACUGAAUCCAUAGGUUAAUGAGGCGAACCGGGGGAACUGAAACAUCUAAGUACCCCGAGGAAAAGAAAUCAACCGAGAUUCCCCCAGUAGCGGCGAGCGAACGGGGAGCAGCCCAGAGCCUGAAUCAGUGUGUGUGUUAGUGGAAGCGUCUGGAAAGGCGCGCGAUACAGGGUGACAGCCCCGUACACAAAAAUGCACAUGCUGUGAGCUCGAUGAGUAGGGCGGGACACGUGGUAUCCUGUCUGAAUAUGGGGGGACCAUCCUCCAAGGCUAAAUACUCCUGACUGACCGAUAGUGAACCAGUACCGUGAGGGAAAGGCGAAAAGAACCCCGGCGAGGGGAGUGAAAAAGAACCUGAAACCGUGUACGUACAAGCAGUGGGAGCACGCUUAGGCGUGUGACUGCGUACCUUUUGUAUAAUGGGUCAGCGACUUAUAUUCUGUAGCAAGGUUAACCGAAUAGGGGAGCCGAAGGGAAACCGAGUCUUAACUGGGCGUUAAGUUGCAGGGUAUAGACCCGAAACCCGGUGAUCUAGCCAUGGGCAGGUUGAAGGUUGGGUAACACUAACUGGAGGACCGAACCGACUAAUGUUGAAAAAUUAGCGGAUGACUUGUGGCUGGGAGUGAAAGGCCAAUCAAACCGGGAGAUAGCUGGUUCUCCCCGAAAGCUAUUUAGGUAGCGCCUCGUGAAUUCAUCUCCGGGGGUAGAGCACUGUUUCGGCAAGGGGGUCAUCCCGACUUACCAACCCGAUGCAAACUGCGAAUACCGGAGAAUGUUAUCACGGGAGACACACGGCGGGUGCUAACGUCCGUCGUGAAGAGGGAAACAACCCAGACCGCCAGCUAAGGUCCCAAAGUCAUGGUUAAGUGGGAAACGAUGUGGGAAGGCCCAGACAGCCAGGAUGUUGGCUUAGAAGCAGCCAUCAUUUAAAGAAAGCGUAAUAGCUCACUGGUCGAGUCGGCCUGCGCGGAAGAUGUAACGGGGCUAAACCAUGCACCGAAGCUGCGGCAGCGACGCUUAUGCGUUGUUGGGUAGGGGAGCGUUCUGUAAGCCUGCGAAGGUGUGCUGUGAGGCAUGCUGGAGGUAUCAGAAGUGCGAAUGCUGACAUAAGUAACGAUAAAGCGGGUGAAAAGCCCGCUCGCCGGAAGACCAAGGGUUCCUGUCCAACGUUAAUCGGGGCAGGGUGAGUCGACCCCUAAGGCGAGGCCGAAAGGCGUAGUCGAUGGGAAACAGGUUAAUAUUCCUGUACUUGGUGUUACUGCGAAGGGGGGACGGAGAAGGCUAUGUUGGCCGGGCGACGGUUGUCCCGGUUUAAGCGUGUAGGCUGGUUUUCCAGGCAAAUCCGGAAAAUCAAGGCUGAGGCGUGAUGACGAGGCACUACGGUGCUGAAGCAACAAAUGCCCUGCUUCCAGGAAAAGCCUCUAAGCAUCAGGUAACAUCAAAUCGUACCCCAAACCGACACAGGUGGUCAGGUAGAGAAUACCAAGGCGCUUGAGAGAACUCGGGUGAAGGAACUAGGCAAAAUGGUGCCGUAACUUCGGGAGAAGGCACGCUGAUAUGUAGGUGAAGUCCCUCGCGGAUGGAGCUGAAAUCAGUCGAAGAUACCAGCUGGCUGCAACUGUUUAUUAAAAACACAGCACUGUGCAAACACGAAAGUGGACGUAUACGGUGUGACGCCUGCCCGGUGCCGGAAGGUUAAUUGAUGGGGUUAGCCGCAAGGCGAAGCUCUUGAUCGAAGCCCCGGUAAACGGCGGCCGUAACUAUAACGGUCCUAAGGUAGCGAAAUUCCUUGUCGGGUAAGUUCCGACCUGCACGAAUGGCGUAAUGAUGGCCAGGCUGUCUCCACCCGAGACUCAGUGAAAUUGAACUCGCUGUGAAGAUGCAGUGUACCCGCGGCAAGACGGAAAGACCCCGUGAACCUUUACUAUAGCUUGACACUGAACAUUGAGCCUUGAUGUGUAGGAUAGGUGGGAGGCUUAGAAGUGUGGACGCCAGUCUGCAUGGAGCCGACCUUGAAAUACCACCCUUUAAUGUUUGAUGUUCUAACGUGGACCCGUAAUCCGGGUUGCGGACAGUGUCUGGUGGGUAGUUUGACUGGGGCGGUCUCCUCCUAAAGAGUAACGGAGGAGCACGAAGGUUGGCUAAUCCUGGUCGGACAUCAGGAGGUUAGUGCAAUGGCAUAAGCCAGCUUGACUGCGAGCGUGACGGCGCGAGCAGGUGCGAAAGCAGGUCAUAGUGAUCCGGUGGUUCUGAAUGGAAGGGCCAUCGCUCAACGGAUAAAAGGUACUCCGGGGAUAACAGGCUGAUACCGCCCAAGAGUUCAUAUCGACGGCGGUGUUUGGCACCUCGAUGUCGGCUCAUCACAUCCUGGGGCUGAAGUAGGUCCCAAGGGUAUGGCUGUUCGCCAUUUAAAGUGGUACGCGAGCUGGGUUUAGAACGUCGUGAGACAGUUCGGUCCCUAUCUGCCGUGGGCGCUGGAGAACUGAGGGGGGCUGCUCCUAGUACGAGAGGACCGGAGUGGACGCAUCACUGGUGUUCGGGUUGUCAUGCCAAUGGCACUGCCCGGUAGCUAAAUGCGGAAGAGAUAAGUGCUGAAAGCAUCUAAGCACGAAACUUGCCCCGAGAUGAGUUCUCCCUGACUCCUUGAGAGUCCUGAAGGAACGUUGAAGACGACGACGUUGAUAGGCCGGGUGUGUAAGCGCAGCGAUGCGUUGAGCUAACCGGUACUAAUGAACCGUGAGGCUUAACCUU
rnacentral:rRNA from 1 species